GAGAUGUAUUGAUACCCCUGGACUGGCCCCUGCACUUGGUAGGCUAUUUCAUGUCACAGACCAGGGUCAUUUCUGAGCCCUCUUGGUCUCUCCAUAGGUUGUAGAGUAUCCGGAGUACUUGGAUCUUCGCCCAUACAUGUCUCAGGCAGAUGGAGAAGCACUCCUCUACUCCUUAUAUGCUGUCCUGGUGCACAGUGGUGUCAGCUGUCAUGGAGGACACUAUUUCUGCUACACAAAGGCCAGCAAUGGAUUGUGGUACCGGAUGGACGAUGAAUCUGUGCAGCUGUGUUCCAUUGACACAGUUCUCAGGCAGCAAGCCUACCUGCUGUUCUAUGCCAGAUGCUCUGAUCUGAGAAUUGGAGAAAGGCCUUCUUCCUCACUGGCACCAUCACAUGCCCCUUCCUUCCUCAGUCAGUGUGUGGCCAGCAGCAAGCAGGCGGGCUCUGUUGGAC